rnacentral:rRNA from 1 species
UACGGGGGGGGCAAGCGUUGUUCGGAAUUACUGGGCGUAAAGGGUUUGUAGGUGGCUCGCUAAGUCAGACGUGAAAUCCCUCAGCUUAACUGGGGAACUGCGUCUGAGACUGGCGAGCUUGAGUGCGGGAGAGGAACGCGGAAUUCCAGGUGUAGCGGUGAAAUGCGUAGAUAUCUGGAGGAACACCGGUGGCGAAGGCGGCGUUCUGGACUGCAACUGACACUGAGGAACGAAAGCCAGGGGAGCAAACGGG